GUGAGCUUAGUUCAGUUGGUAUGGACAAUGCAUAAUAUAUGCAAGGUCCGGGGUUCAAACCCCGGCUAUCACA
rnacentral:tRNA from 1 species